GUGGGGAAUCUUGCGCAAUGGGCGAAAGCCUGACGCAGCCAUGCCGCGUGAAUGAUGAAGGUCUUAGGAUUGUAAAAUUCUUUCACCGGGGACGAUAAUGACGGUACCCAGAGAAGAAGCUCCGGCUAACUUCGUGCCAGCAGCCGCGGUAAUACGAAGGGGGCUAGCGUUGCUCGGAAUUACUGGGCGUAAAGGGCGCGUAGGCGGACAGCUUAGUCAGAGGUGAAAGCCCAGGGCUCAACCUUGGAAUUGCCUUUGAUACUGGCUGUCUUGAGUUUGGGAGAGGUGAGUGGAACUCCGAGUGUAGAGGUGAAAUUCGUAGAUAUUCGGAAGAACACCAGUGGCGAAGGCGACUCACUGGCCCAAUACUGACGCUGAGGCGCGAAAGCGUGGGGAGCAAACAGGAUUAGAAACCCCAGUAGUCC
rnacentral:rRNA from 1 species